ACUUGUACAGCUCUCCCAGUGGCAGGAACCCAAUGUCUGUGAAGUCUCAUAAUUAUUACUUAAAAAAUGAGGCCCAUCUCACGUGUCUCAACUUUUGCGGAUAAAUCCUCCAGUACAACACGCUACCUGACCCGCGAGCGCGAGCACGCUCCUGCUAAUGAAAAAACACCCAGGCAUGAAGCGACUACUCAACUCUUACACCCCUAGUCAAGGAGAAACGAGGCCAAAUUCCCAAAGCCCAAUUCAAUUCUUCGCUUGAUACUGAGAAGCCUUAUUAGUUUUCCCUCUUGGCCAUUUUCAAAACAGCUUGGACUUGGCAAAAUCGAAGAAAAACAACAAAGUUCGCCUAUUUUUCCCUCUCGUCCCUCCAAUUACUCGACUUUAGAAUCAGACCCCGGGGGAGCAUAAAAUGGGCGGUGAACUCGUAACUGCUUUUUGAAUUA
rnacentral:misc_RNA from 1 species